rnacentral:lncRNA from 1 species
GUGUGUGUGUGUGUGUGUGUGUGUGUGUGUGUGUGUGUGUGUGUGUGUGUGUGUGUGUGUGUGUGUGUGUGUCUUUAUGCCAGUGAAAGGAAAGGAACAAGACUUGUCCUCUUACUUUAACACACACACACACACAGCUACAGAAUCUCAAAGACAAAGAGGACAGCAGUUUUGCAUAUUUAUCUGUACCUGUUGUUUGAUUCUGCAGAGGAAGAAGAAGAAGAAGAAAAAGAAGAAGAGGAUGGACUCAUCAGGGUGAAGGGUGAUGAGGCUCUUCUUGUUUCUGAGUCCUGGAGGAACUCUGAUCUGAUUUCUGUUUGCAGUAUGACAGGACUGUGAAAAUUUAACCCCUUCCUGAUUUCUUUCUCCUCUCUCUGAUUCAUCCUCUGCUUGGUCUGAUCGCCCUGGCACAUCCCCUGUGCUGUAUUUAGUCUAUUCAUGGAGCUAAAACCUCCUUCACUCUCAGCUCUCACAGGUCCUGAGGUGAUAAAAGGUUCCAGGUCCUCUAGGACUAUCUAGACUUUGGUUUUCUGGAACUCUGUGAACCCUUAGUAAUCUGCCUCAGUGGGAGGGGGGACUGGCAGCACUUUGACUCGACUUCUGCCUCAGCAAACAGAACAUCAUGGUCCUCCUGAAACCUUUGUGUGCAGACCUCUGUACACCUACAGAUCCUGUCAGACUCCCCCGUCUCUCCUCGUUUCCCCAGUUCCCCAUGCAGCUGCUGGAGAGCCACCCACAGUUUAAAUAUCACAGUUUUCCAGCUGUAAGAAGAUCCAACCAGAGAAAAUUUCCUUCUUUGUGUCAUUUUCACAAACAUUAAAUAGACUUUUAGAGUUGGAGCUAUGUAGCAACUCAUAAUGUAAUAACUUAAAUAAAGUAAAAGUUCAUGAUGUAAUAAAAUCUUGAGUGCAUAACAUAAUACAGACUCACUGGAGGAUGUAGUGGAGAGAUGUACACUGAGGAAGGUGGAAUCUAUUCUAAGGAAACCACUUCAUAACACCUUAAUGGACCAAAGGGCAAAUGGUGGUAGACGGCUCCUCUCUCUGUUUGCUGCAGGACAGAAAGAUUCAGAAGAUUGUUUGUACCCACAGCCAUCAGACUUUACAACUCUUCUGUAAACAGUAGAUGACUUUUUGAGAGAUGACAAAUGAGACUACAGACAAUUGAAUUUCCCUUUGGGGAUAAAUAAAGUUAUACUAUACUAUAUGUAAUAAUGUAAUAACUUAUUAUUACAUAAGGCACAGGCACCUAUACAAAUGUAUCAGCACCAUUGUUAUACAGUGGACAAAUUUUGAUUCACUACUAGUCCUACAGUGUAAGAGUUGUUGGACAAAUUAUAUAUUUUUGUGAUGAAAGUAAUAAAAAACUGCUGUAAAUUUUUUUAUUGAAGUCAAUGGGACAAGCCAAAAAAAGAGCAAUUAUUGGUAGUUUUUCAUCAUCAUAAUGUAUAAACCAGCAUUAGCCCCCGAGGCCCUUUUAAAAUUUCCCAGAGGGAAUUUUAUAGUUGAACUUUAGAGGUCACAAAAAGUGCUGCUGACCUGCCUGAGUCAGACAAUAGUGAGUACGGUGUUCUCAAAACAACUCUCAUGGCCCACCUUAUGGCUUAACUUCAUACAUUGAUAAAAUGUAAGAAUGCAGUUACUAUUAAAUAAAAGGCUAUUAAGUUUCACAAAUUUUGUCUGUUAUUGUGCUGAAACUAAUGCCUUUUGCUUUAUUUGCACCUUUAUUUGAGAGGUAAAUAAGGGGGUGUGAGGAAGAACACACAGACCCUCAAAUGUCUGCAUUUGUGUGUGUGUGUGUGUGUGUGUGUGUGUGUGUGUGUGUGUGUGUGUGUGUGUGUGUGUGUGUGUGUGUGUGUGUGUGUGUGUGUGUGUGUGUGUGUGGUCACCUCUCACAGAGGAGCCAGCUGUUAAUGUGCUAAAUUAUGAAAAUAUGUCUUCUCCAAUCAGCCUCUUCAUCCAUCACCCUGAUGUCUAAUCCCUCACCCAGAAGGAGAGUGGGGGAGUGGGCUUUACAGGAGAAAUCUUCCACUGUGUCAGCGUGGGAGCUAAAUUCAGCUAAUCCACCCAUUAAUAUGAUGACUGAAAGACUUUGUGGUCUCCAGGUUAUAUUUCAUAAGGACAGCUGAUGGAGAAUCCAGAGGUAACAGCAUGAGGGUGAGGGAGAUUCGUGCUCAUUAGUCCUCUCAUUAAUGUCAUACACUCAGUUUUAUGUGUGUUACAGAACAAUGAGCUGAUGCAUCCUGAGA